rnacentral:lncRNA from 1 species
UAAUAAUAAGAGUGUGGGCUAAGCCCAAAUACAAAUGAACAUGUAAAUGAAAUAAACACAAUAUCUAACACUCCCCCUCAAGCUGGAGCAUAUAAAUCAUAUGUUCCAAGCUUGUUACAAAGAUAGUCAAUUCUAGGUCCUCGCAAGGACUUAGUGAAUAUGUCUGCCAAGUGGUUGCUUGAGUUAACAAACUCAGUCUUGAUAUCUCCAGAUAUGAUUUUUUCUCUAAUAAAAUGGCAAUCAACUUCAAUGUGUUUGGUUCUUUCAUGGAAGACAGGAUUAGAGCUAAUAUGAAGAGCAGCUUGAUUAUCACAUAUAAGUGUCAUGUGAGUGAUAUCUCCAAAUUUCAAUUCACUCAGUAAUUGUUUAAGCCACACAAGCUCACAAGUAGCUGAUGCCAUAGCUCUAUACUCUGCUUCUGCACUGGAUCUAGCCACAACACUUUGCUUCUUACUUUUCCAAGAUAUCAGGUUGCCACCAAUAGANACACAAUAUCCAGAAGUAGACCUCCUAUCAGAAGGGGAACCAGCCCAAUCAGCAUCUGAAUAGCACACGAUUUUUGUAUCGUUGUUAGGACCAUAUAGCAAACNUUUUCCAGGUGAUCCUUUAAUAUACUUCAGUAUGCGAACCACUGCAUCCCAAUGGUCUUCACAUGGAGAGUUAAGGAAUUGACUCACCACACUAACUGCAAAGGAAAUGUCAGGACGCGUAACAGUAAGAUAGUUUAAUUUACCAACUAAUCUUCUGUAACGUUCAGGAUCUGAGAAAGGCUCCCCCUGAUUUGGUAGGAGCUUGAUGUUAGGAUCCAUAGGUGUCUCAACAGACUUACAGUUCAUUAACCCUGUUUCCUCCAAGAUGUCUAACGCAUACUUNCUCUGAGAUAUGACAAUACCAUCAUUGGAUUGUGCUACUUCAAUACCCAAAAAGUACCGGAGUUUGCCAAGAUCUUUGGUUUGAAAAUGGUGACAAAGGUGCUGUUUCAUCUGAGAGAUACCAAGGUAGUCGCUUCCUGUGAGAAUAAUGUCAUCGACAUACACUAUUAANUANAUACAUCCAGNACUUGANUGGCNAUAGAACACUGAAUGAUCCGCUUCACUGCGAGACAUACCAAAUUGUUGAACAACACUGCUGAAUUUACCAAACUAGGCCCGAGGAGACUGUUUUAGGCCAUAUAGGGAUUUGCGAAGACGACAUACCAAUCCAGAUGACUCCCCCUGAGCAACAAAGCCAGGCGGUUGCUCCAUGUAAAUUUCUUCCUGCAAAUCACCAUUAAGGAAAGCAUUUUUGACAUCAAGUUGGUAAAGAGGCCAUUGUCGAAGAGCGGCCAUGGCAAUGAAAAGGCGAACAAAGGUCACUUUCGCCACUGGAGAAAAAGUAUCACCAUAAUCCAAACCAAAAAUUUGUGUGUAUCCUUUGGCAACCAGUCGAGCCUUCAAACGAUCAAUUGUACCAUCAGGNCCAACCUUGAUAGCAUACACCCACCUGCAACCAACAACAGACUUUCCAGAUGGUAAUUGGACAAGCUCCCAAGUUCCACUUUUCUGUAAAGCACUUAAUUCAUCCAGCAUGGCUUGACGCCAACCAGGAUGAGUUAAGGCAUCACCCACAGACUUGGGAAUGGACACAGAAGAAAUGGAUGAGAGACAUGUGUAAAAAGAUGGAGAUAAUCAGAGGUAACUAAGAACAGUAUAAUUGGGGGAAGGGUUACGAGUAGAGCGUAUACCUUUACGGAGGGCAAUAGGCAGGUCAGACUCAUUUGCUGGAGCCGGAGGAGACACAAGAGGCGGCACAGGAGGUGAGUCAUGUGGGAGACGAUUGCGGCGACUAUAAACUUGAAGGGGUGGAGUUGAAGGACAAUCCUGUGGGGAAUGAGAGUCUAAAGGAUCACAGACAAUAGGAAUAUCAACAGUAGGAGGUGGAGGUACAGAACUAUAAUAUAGAUGAGAAAAGUAAAACGAAGAUUCAUCAAAGGUGACAUCAGCGGAGAUGAAAUGACGAUUGAGGGAAGGGGAAAAAGACUUAUAGCCCUUUUGUGACCGUGGAAAUCCUAAGAAGACACAUUUGUGAGAUCUAGGAGAUAACUUAUCAAGACCAGGACUAAAAUCAUGAACAAAACAUGUAGACCCAAAAACUCUAAGAGGUAAUGGAUGUAAAGGGUCUUGAGGGAAUAAGACGGAAUGAGGGAUUUUGUUAUCUAGGACAGAAGACGGCAUGCGGUUUAUGAGAUAACAUGCAGUAAGAACUGCAUCACCCCAAAAACGCGAGGGUACUUGGCCAUGGAUUAGAAGUGUACGAGUUGUUUCAAUAAGGUGUCUAUUCUUGCGCUCAGCCACCCCAUUUUGUUGAGGAGUAUAAGCACAUGAGGUCUGGUGAAGAAUGCCAUGAGAAGCCAUAAAAUGUUUAAAUGGUGAAGAAAGGUAUUCACGGCCAUUAUCACUGCGUAAAGUUCGAAUAGAAACCCCAAACUGUGUUUUUAUUUCAUUGAAAAAUGAUUGGAAAAUAGAAAACAACUCAGAACGAUUCUUCAUUAAAAACAACCAAGUACAUCUUGAAUAGUCAUCAAUAAAAGUAACAAAAUACUGAAAGUCUAAAGUGGACUUAACACGACUAGGACCCCAAAUAUCAGAAUGGACUAAUGAAAAAGGAGACGAUGCUCUUUGUGACACACUACGAGGAAAGGAACUACGGGUAUGCUUUCCUAACUGACAAGACUCACACGACAAACUUGAUAACUUCGACAAACUCGGAACAAGUUGCUGUAGUUUGGCAAGGCUGGGAUGACCGAACUGAGCAUGAAGAAGGGAUGGUGACUCCAUGAUUAUGCCAGCAUGUGGAGAAGGGCGUAGAAGAUAGAGGUCAUGAGACUCACAUCCUGUGCCAAUCAUGUGUUUCGAACUCCGGUCCUGCAAAUAAACANAAUCUUUGGUAAAUGAAAUAACACAAUUAAGGGAAUGAGUUAGACGACUUAUGGACAAUAAAUUGAAAGGAGAUCCAGGGACAUAGAGUACAUGAUCAAUNNNN